rnacentral:tRNA from 1 species
AGGACUGUGACUCAGUAGCAGGGUGCUUGCCUGCCAUGCAUGAAGACCUGGGUGUGAUCCCCAGCAUCUUG